rnacentral:misc_RNA from 1 species
GUUUGUAUUCUUAGUGGUAGCGGCACAGUUACCAACGUCAACCUUCGUCAGCCUGCUGCAAGUGUAGUCACACUCCACGGACGUUUCGAAAUACUUAGCCUCUCAGGUACGGUGCUUCCUCCGCCUGCACCGCCCGCCUCCAGUGGGAUCUCUAUAUUUUUAUCAGGUGGACAAGGACAAGUGGUUGGAGGAUCCGUUGUAGGGCCUUUGAUCGCAUCAGGUCCAGUCGUCUUAAUGGCUGCCUCUUUUGCUAAUGCUGUAUUUGAACGACUUCCCUUGGAGGAAGAUGAUGAGGCUCCUGCUAAUGUUCCUACUACACAGGUACAGCCAGCUGCCUCACAGUCAUCAGGAGUAACCGGUGGUGGAGAGGCCGCCGGUACUGCCCAUCCUGCCGAAGGAAAUAUGGCUUUUGGGAAUAAUUACUCAUUCUCAGCUGAGUUGCUUGGAUGGGGUGGCAAUGCUGCAAAUGAAAGGCCCCCAUUUUAGCUAGUAUAUACGAUAGUGAUCAUGAGAUUUUCAAAUUACUCAAAAUGUUAAGAGAUAGCUGGUGCAGAAAAUAGCCAGUUGUGGCUAACAAACACUACUUUUUUUUUUCUAAUUCCACCAACGGAAGAAAACUUGAAAGCAAGGUGAGUUUCAUGUAUGUAUAUAUAUAUAUAUAGUGUUUGUACAAGUACUAUAUAACAAUGCUCAUCUUCA